rnacentral:snRNA from 1 species
AUACUCUUGUGUCUCUUCAGAUUGUCUAAAUCUUUUGCCUUUUUUUUUUUUAAAUCUUUUUGCCUUUUACUAAAGAUUUCUGUGGAGAGGAACAACUCUUGAGUCUUAAAACAGUUUUUUAAGGCCUUGUUUUUGCAGGGCU